rnacentral:misc_RNA from 1 species
UCUCCGUAGGUUAACCUGCGGAGGGAUCAUUCAUAGAGAUGGCGGGCCCCCGCGCCCCCGUCCCCAACCCUUUGUCGACCAAACCACUUUUGCCUCGGGGGCAGAGCGGCCUCCGCCGCCCCCGGUGGACCAUUCAACCCUGUCUCUGUACGUCGGAGUCUUUGAUAAAUAAAUGAAAACUUUUAACAACGGGUCUCUUGGUUCUGGCAUCGAUGAAGAACGCAGC